rnacentral:rRNA from 1 species
ACGCCGGGAGUAACUCUGACUCUCUUAAGGUAGCCAAAUGCCUUGUCGGGUAAGUUCCGACGUGCAUGAAUGGAACAACGAGGGCCCCGCUGUCCCCGCCUACAACCCGGUGAAGCCACAUAACGUGGACGAACAGUCCACAAACCUCUGUCGGGGAGAGAAGACCCUGUGGAGCUUUACUGCAGCCUGUUGUUGCGAUAUGAUGUCUAAUGCAGAGAGUAGUUGGGAGCCUUCGAAGCCAGUUCUCCGGGAUUGGUCGAGGCGAAAGUGUAACACCAGCCAUUGGUUAUCGUAUCGCUAACCCGUUCUCACGGGGACACCGGCAGGUGGGCAGUUUGGCUGGGGCGGCACCCCCUUGAAAAAAUAUCGAGGGGGCCCAAAGAUUGGCUCAGGCGGGACAGAACUCCGCCGGUGAGGGCAAAGCCACAAGCCAGUCUGACUGGAUCCCCAAUGAUACGGGAUUCAGAGGCGAAAGCCGGGCUUAGCGAUCCAUCAUGUCCUCACUAUUGGAGGCUGAUGGUGACAGAAAAGUUACCCUAGGGAUAACAGGCUCGUCGCGGGCGAGAGCUCCUAUCGACCCCGCGGUUUGGUACCUCGAUGUCGGCUCUUCCCAUCCUGGUUCUGCAGCAGGAGCCAAGGGUGGGGCUGCUCGCCCAUUAAAGGGGAACGUGAGCUGGGUUUAGACCGUCGUGAGACAGGUCGGUCUCUGCCUGACAGGGGCGUGGUUGUCUGAGGGGAAGUUGUCCCUAGUACGAGAGGAACAGGGCAACGCAGCCUCUGGUUUAUCAGCUGUCCGACAGGGCACGCUGAGCAGCUAAGCUGUUUUGGAUAACUCCUGAAAGCAUCUAAGGAGGAAGCCAUUCUCGAGAAAAGACAGCCUUCCGUAAGGAGAAGGGUA